AAUCAAGUGCCUUAAGGGUGUUCGGUGGAUGCCUUGGCGCUGAGAGGCGAUGAAGGACGUGCUACGCUGCGAUAAGCCGUGGGGAGCUGCGAAGAAGCUUUGAUCCACGGAUUUCCGAAUGGGG
rnacentral:rRNA from 7 species